CCUACGGGUGGCAGCAGUGGGGGAUAUUGGACAAUGGGGGGAACCCUGAUCCAGCGACGCCGCGUGAGUGAAGAAGUAUCUCGGUAUGGAAAGCUCUAUCAGCAGGGAAGAAGAAAUGACGGUACCUGAGUAAGAAGCCCCGGCUAACUACGUGCGAGACGCCGCGGUCAUACGUAGGGGGCAAGUGUUAUCCGGAAUUACUGGGGGUAAAGGGAGCGUAGACGGUGAUGGAAGGCUGGAGUGAAAGGCGGGGGCCCAACCCCCGGACGGCGCUGGAAACUAUGUGACUGGAGUGCAGGAGAGGUGAGCAGAAUUCGUAGUGUAGCGGUGAAAUGCGUAGAUAUUAGGAGGAACACCAGUGGCGAAGGCGGCUCACUGGACUGUAACUGACGUUGAGGCUCGAAAGCGUGGGGAGCAAACAGGAUUAGAUACCCGAGUAGUC
rnacentral:rRNA from 1 species